UACGUAGGGUGCGAGCGUUGUCCGGAAUUAUUGGGCGUAAAGAGCUUGUAGGCGGUUUGUCGCGUCUGCUGUGAAAAUCCGGGGCUCAACCCCGGACUUGCAGUGGGUACGGGCAGACUAGAGUGUGGUAGGGGAGACUGGAAUUCCUGGUGUAGCGGUGAAAUGCGCAGAUAUCAGGAGGAACACCGAUGGCGAAGGCAGGUCUCUGGGCCAACACUGACGCUCAGGCACGAAAGCGUGGGGAGCAAACAGG
rnacentral:rRNA from 1 species